CAGCCGCCACGGUAAUACGUAGGCGGCAAGCGUUGUCCGGAAUUAUUGGGCGUAAAGGGCUCGCAGGCGGUUUCUUAAGUCUGAUGUGAAAGCCCCCGGCUCAACCGGGGAGGGUCAUUGGAAACUGGGAAACUUGAGUGCAGAAGAGGAGAGUGGAAUUCCACGUGUAGCGGUGAAAUGCGUAGAGAUGUGGAGGAACACCAGUGGCGAAGGCGACUCUCUGGUCUGUAACUGACGCUGAGGAGCGAAAGCGUGGGGAGCGAACAGGAUUAGAUACCCCGGUAGUCCCUGUCUCUUAUAC
rnacentral:rRNA from 1 species